rnacentral:lncRNA from 1 species
AACAGUGCAAGAGAGAGACUCACCCCCACGUCUCUUCUUCUUCGAACCACCCCUUACUCAAACAAACCCCUGAACUUCUUCUUCUUCAUUUGAAGAAACGGAGCAGCGGCGCUCAGAGCAAAGGAAAAUGGAAGCUCCUCAUCUUUUUCUGGACAGACGAGCAGACCCAAGAGUUCUCGCUACUCUCCACUCUAAAUUCCCUCCUCUUUUUCUUCCACACUCGCUCACACACAUACAAUCAAGUGACAUUUGGGUUUAGAGCUUCGAAUUAAGGCAUUAGCUAAGAAAUCUGGCGGAUUGAACCGUUAUCCGCUGGCAUCGAGUUGAACUCAUUUGGCCGCUGGUUUGUCUCUGUUUCUGCUGCUGGACUUUGCCCUCUAUUUCAGAACUGUGUUGAUU